rnacentral:rRNA from 1 species
GCAGUAGCCACGGGAAUACGAGGGGGGCAAGCGUUGUUCGGAAUUAUUGGGCGUAAAGGGCGCGUAGGCGGUUUGACAAGUUUGGUGUGAAAUCUAUGGGCUCAACCCAUAGCCUGCAUCGAAAACUGUCGGGCUUGAGUAUGGGAGAGGUGAGUGGAAUUUCCGGUGUAGCGGUGAAAUGCGUAGAUAUCGGAAGGAACACCUGUGGCGAAAGCGGCUCACUGGACCAUUACUGACGCUGAGGCGCGAAAGCUAGGGGAGCAAACAGGAUUAGAUACCCGCGUAGUCCCUGUCUCUUAUAC